rnacentral:rRNA from 1 species
ACUGUACAAAGGUAGCAUAAUAAUUAGUUUCUUAAUUAGGAACUGGAAUGAAUGAUUGAACGAGAUAAUAACUGUCUCAAUUUUAUUUAAAGAAUUUUAUUUUUAAGUAAAAAAGCUUAAAUUUUUUUAAAAGACGAGAAGACCCUAUAGAAUUUUAUAAAAUUUAUUUUUUAAGGAUUAUAGUAUAUAUUAUUUUUGUAUUAAUAAAUUUAUUUGGUUGGGGUGAUUGAAAAAUUUAUUUAACUUUUUUUAGUAAUUUUAUAUUUAUAUAUAUAUAUAUUGAUCCAAUAUUUUUGAUUAUAAGAUUAAGUUACC